rnacentral:siRNA from 1 species
AGCAAUGUAAGACCGGAGGAUGA